GAUGGAGUGAGGGACCCAUGGUCAGUCUGCUACAGCAGCACCACAUCAUCCAUAAUUGUGGGACAGUACCGGGACGACAACAUCCUGGUGUUCAGAGUGGAAUAGUGUGUACAUUCGCUGCCGAGUCAGGACAAGGAUGCUGAGGAUGUGGUGGACAAGGAUGACCUGAAUACACAGUAGCUACUGCUCAGCAAAGAAUACAACUGUCUGGUGAAAGGCUCGACCGUAUCAAAGUCCAGUGAUGUCGGGGUAUGUGGCCGUUCCAUGUCUGGGGAUUGCAUUUUAGCCGACACUAACAAGGGAGAGAACUGAAGAUCUGCACCUGCAAACAGCACCAGCCUUGAUAUAGAGUGGUAUGGCAACGACACAAGUCGAGCCCGCUGGAGCCCCAGUCCAGCAAGACCCCUCCCCUGACCCCUAGCUCCUCCCAUUUGACCUCCGGCAUCAAAGAGUCAGCAUUGUUUAACAAUUCCAUCCCAUAGCAAUUUCUGAGCACAUAGUGUUUGCACAUUUUUCUCAACAAGCGCAAUGUCCGUGUUGAGUCUGCACUUGAGCCCUGAUUGGUUUGAUAGACUCAAGUGCAGGAGGUGGUAGAAGUGUUACAGACAUAAGAAGUUAUUGCAGCAGUUAUGGUAACACUAACAGUCAGCUCUCGCUGUUUGACAUUAAAUUGAAUAUUACGAAAAAAUACAAAGCUGAAUAACUCAUUCCAUUCUUUUUGGGACAAACAGACCUGCAGCAAGGAACAGGAGAAAAUCACGGGAAUGUUUGAAGAGUUUAAGUCAGAAGCGUAAGCUUUCCACCGGGGAUACUCCUGGAUGGUCUAAACUUAAGGGACAGUCCAGGUUUGUCCUCUCAGGUGUCCAAACUGUCCAAAGAGAAUGCAUUUAUUUUUGACGCAGUUGCUAACAAAGAAAGGCAGUACCAACUUCGUUGUGAAGAGUCAAGCAUGGUACAUCCCUGGGGCAUGCCUCAGGUGGGAAUUCCAUCUGCAACAAGGUGCUAAAGGUGAACCCAUCAGAGUGUGUUACUAACCACUUCAGCCUCACAUUGAUUCGACGAUAAAGAAGGCGUUGAAAAAUGACAGCAGUUUUGAUGUGUCAUCCAGUUUGCUCUUCGACUCUCAACCCAACGUUAGUUAGAACGCAAACUCAGCAAUUAGCGUUAUCAGCGAGGCUCGAAGGUCAUCUCUGCUUCUUAAGCUUCAGAUAAAAUUAUAAGCCAACAAGACGAACAUCGUUGAAUCAUUUCGCACAUAUACUAAAACUCGCUUAAGAAAUUCAGCACGUCACUUAUGAACAUCUUCUCGCAAGGCGGCUACAUCAGCACUUCCAAUAGCUGAGCCUUGGUGAGUUCCACUCCUGUCCCGAUGAGUCGCUCGAGGUGAAACAAUCUGAUCCACAGAUAGAGCAGACGCUGAGUGACUCGUCUGUUAACGUGACUGACCUCCAUAUGUUGCUCUCUAAUAUUGUGCCUGAGGAGCAGUGUUGGCCUACAUUCCCUGUUCAGGGCGGUGACUUUGGCGUCAAGACUCACACAAUCUCUGUCUAUGGCCCUGUCGCAGCAGCAGCAGCAACAAAAACAGGAAGUAUUUCAGCUGCACUCUGGGAAAACAGGGCUUAAUGCAUUUGCCUAAAGUGUUUUACCCACGAAAGCGUGUUAAGUCUGCCCAAGCUAAUUUGUGACCACACUUUCCGAAUGUACCUUAAAACAAAGAAUUCCAUAAAAGCUGAAAGUGUCGUGGCUGAUUAGCUUGUGCAGACUGUACAUGCAAAUCUGGAACAACUCUACACUUAUGCAUUUAGCCCAGUUUUUAAAGAGUUUAGAGUUGCACAUUUAGUUCACAUUACAUCAGCUUUUUUCUGACCUUUUUGGAGAAAGGUUCUUAUUACCAAUCAGGAAUUUUGCGGUUUUUGACUGUUCAAACUGAGUUAAUAAAAUGCAUAUUAGAGUUGAUUUGAUAUCAGUUUUAACCAUAGGGGGUAAGGGCAUAUUUUCAUACCUUUUUGUUUGUUUUCACUUGUAUAUAAACCCCUUGCAUAAAUUAUACAAAAUACUGAUGUUUUAUUUAAAUAAAACAAUUAUUGAAAUGCAGUCAACAUUUAAAAAAAAAUAUCUGCAUUUCAUUUAUUAUUAGGUAACAAAAUUUAAUAUAUUUUUACAUAAAUUGAAAUUAAUCACCUGUCCAGGUUUUCAGUUUACAAAUAUGCCCCUGGAGUGAGAAUAUGAAGUGAAGAUAUUAAUUAAUUAUUGCCCCCGGCUAAUUGGGGUAUAUAGGAAUCACCUUGGACAGACGUCUGUCUCUCUUUUCAUAUGUCUGUGGGCGUUCACUUACAAUUCAACGUUAAGCAUUCAAACUUUCAGGUAUUGUUUAAUCUCAUACGUGGUUGUGCAUGUACAUUUUGUAUCAUAAUACUCUAAAAAUUACAAAACUUAGACAUUAUAUAACCUCAUGCUUCAUAGACUUGUGGCAUUGGGGGAUAUUCUAUGUAACAAUGGUUACAAAUUAUUGUUUGACUAGAUGUUGUUUUCUUCUAAGUAUUUUGAAAAAAAAGAGCCAUAUUUUGCUUUCGGAUUGAGUCAGCCUCAUAACUUGUUAAUUUAAUAAUUUAAUGGUCAUGAAAUAAUUUCUAUGGCCAUUCUCUCUCUGAUUCUAGUACGGCAAUUGUCUGUUACUGGCAUAAGUAUAUGUACUCAGUAAGGCCAGGAAAAGGUUAACUUAAUGACCACACUACUACGACUAAAAUGCAUUUUUGUGUGUGUAGGAUCAAUUAAAAAAAAAGAUAAAAUUCGAGUACUUUUUAGCUGUUUCCUACAGGACCCCGUACAAUUACAGAUUGGUGCACAGCUGAACAACAGGCUCUCUCUCCUAAGUCAGGCCUGAACGCAUGGGGUCACUUCCUGUGUAUGGGUGGCCAAAUGUCAAACUAGUACCAAUCUGUGCCCAAAAAGCAGCCGUAGCCGUGGGGGGCAGGUUCAUGAUGCAACCGUGGUCUCAUUGCUCUCUGAACAUCUCCUUCCCAACAGCAACAGUACAGCAAAAUGACCUGGGUCAUACCGUUGCCAGUUCAAGCUUAGAGGACCAUGUUCCCCAAAUCCAAUGUGGCCCUAUAUCUUAACAGGAAUACCUCGCAGAGCUAAUGAACAGAGCCAGUGCGUAAAACAUGAUUUUUAGGAGGAAUAGGAACCUAGGCCCAAUAUCAACCUGGUUCCAAUCUCGCGAAGAUGUCCACCGGCCGCCCCCUAGCACAAGCCUCGUUAGCCCCAAGGUGUUGUCAUGAUGCCACUGGACAACAGCUCUUGUUGGGCUCUUCCCAAUAGCAGUAGAUCAACAUGGCAUAUCAGCAUGAUGCCCCAAACCAGCGCUUCAUAUUUAGCUACCAGCAGUAUCCAUGCAACCAAACCUUGAUCACUCAGCAACAGAUAAAUCAGCAGCAGGGAUGGAGUUAGCCGUUUCAACGUCUGCUCAGUUGCCUCUCAGAGCCAGUCGGCUUGCUGUGUUGCUUAGCCAAUCCACUACUUAUGUCGCAGCACAAUAUCUCAUCCGGAUCCAUUCCACUGCUGGCGCAACAGCAGGUCUGUUCUCUGUACAGAGCCGUUUCUAUGACGAUCAAGUCCUACAACUCGCCCAGUACUUGCUUUUGCGUCAGGGUCAGGUUCAAGGUCUCAUGGGCUUUGGUGGUCUGGGCAAGAUGGGAAUGUUAGACAGCAACAACAACAGUUAAGAAAAUAGCAACAGCAUAAUAGACAGACACAGCAGCAAUGGCCACAGCACCAACAAUAGCAGUAACAGAUGAUGGCUUAGCUUCAUCAGCAAUAGCAGAAGCAACAAGAUCUUACGUCCAUGGACCAUUUAGAUGUCACUUUAGAAAUUCAGAAGAUCUUUAUGAAAGAAUAAACGAGGUAACAUCUGAACAUUGCAUCUAUGACUACAAUGAGGAAGUGAAAAGGGAGGAGACAAAGAAAUACAAAGAAAUUUUUAACAGCUUUACUUAAAAUUGUAAACAUGGAUUGCAUGGCAUUGAGUUUGGUUUGGAAGCAGUUACUAUCGCAGAACUCGAGCCAGCAAAGGUCAUCCUCACAGGAAUCCAGUAUCUCCAUGGUGCAGGACCCACAGUCUAUGAACGUUGUGGAGCUUGAACCUUGGACGCCAAUUGAAAAAUAUCCAAACCGUCCAAUCAGAAAGACAGUCUGUUGCAGCAGUUAGUCAAACCUAGGAUGCUUAGUGAUAAACAUAAAUAAACACAUGCUAGUCCCUAAGUGCCUGCAUUGGCUGUUUUAAAGCCUUGCUGUCCAUUCUGAACACUUAAAUGGAAGCUCUCACCUUAGAAUUUUGGGAUAGGUCGAAACCCAGUGGCAUGGUGCAGACUAACAUCGCAGAAUGACAAAGAAGUACAAGCCUGUGACCAGCAAUAAACUAAUGUGGCCAGCUAUGUUGUGUCAUGUGACCAGCCAAGCUGUGUGUAAAGAGAAAACUAUAGUUCAUGUCUUGUGGGAUUUAUGACGCUUUAAGUGAUUUGCUGUUAUAUGUUUUUGUGAUAUAUAUAGUUAAUUAUAAUCAAGUGAAGAUUACUUGUUUAAAGUGAUUAUGUAAAGUAUUAUUUUAAGUUCAAAAGAGUGCAAGCCUGUGUUGCUACUUUGUCUGUAUUCGAAAGUUUGAUCAAGAUGUUGGUAAAACAUAGAACAUAAACAUAUUUUUUAUUACAUUGAUUUAAAACUUAAGCAAAGUUGUUUAACUAAUAUUGUUAACUUGAAUAAAUUUUCAAACAUU